rnacentral:tRNA from 1 species
GGGGAUAUGUAGCUCAGUUGGUACAGUGCUUGCUUUGCAUGCAUAAGGCCCUGGGUUCAAUCCCCAGUACCACCA